GACGAACGCUGGCGGCGUGCUUAACACAUGCAAGUCACGGGGGUCCGCAAGGGAUAACCGGCGAACGGGUGCGUAACACGUGAACAACCUGCCCUCGUGUGGGGGAUAGCCAUGCUAACGCGUGGGUAAUACCGCAUACGGUCCUUUGGGGGAGUCCCUGGGGGAAGAAAGCUCCGGCGCACGGGGAGGGGUUCGCGGCCUAUCAGCUAGUUGGGGGGUAAUGCCCACCAAGGCGACGACGGGUAGCUGGUCUGAGAGGAUGGCCAGCCACAUUGGGACUGAGAGACGGCCCAGACUCCUACGGGAGGCAGCAGUGGGGAAUCUUGCGCAAUGGCCGAAAGGCUGACGCAGCGACGCCGCGUGGGGGAGGAAGGCCUUC
rnacentral:rRNA from 1 species